AAUUUUCACCGGGGCUCGUUUAUUUUCGGGGAAAACGACGACGAUGGAACAUACCGUUGCAACAACGCGUGUACGUGGUUAAUUGGACCUUCUCCUGGAUCCUGUACAUCGCGUAGAAAAACAGAGAGAGAAAGAAAGAAUUUAACAAAAGAAAAAAGAAAAUGCGAAGAAUUGGAUCCAUACUGGGUAAAUUUAAGUUUGACGAGGCCAUAAAAUGCCAUUUUCAUGGGCUCACCCGAUGACUCUAUUUUCUCCUUUCUUUUUAUUUUUACAACCCUUCUAUUGAUCUUUCCUCCGCAAGAAUUCUCUUGGUAACGUUUCAAAUGACGAUCGAUCGAUGAAAUAUAAACACUUCGAAUGGGUAACCUCAACAGACUGCUUACUAAAAAUUAUUGAAACUAUCCAUGUGUCCAUCUUCGAUAAAUACGUUUUCUUGUAUUCGUUAUUUCGAAUAUAUUUAAUAAAAAAAAUAAAUAAAUAAAUUGACCAUAAUGCAAAAAAAAAAAAAAAAAAGAAAGAAACAAAA